AUUGAACGCUGGCGGAAUGCUUUACACAUGCAAGUCGAACGGCAGCACGGACUUCGGUCUGGUGGCGAGUGGCGAACGGGUGAGUAAUGUAUGGGAACGUGCCAAGUAGUGGGGGAUAACGUAGGGAAACUUACGCUAAUACCGCAUACGAUCUAUGGAUGAAAGGGGGGGAUGGCAAGACCUCGCGCGAUUGGAGUGGCAGAUAGCAGAUUAGGUAGUUGGUGGGGUAAAGGCCCACCAAGCCAACGAUCUGUAGCUGGUCUGAGAGGACGACCAGCCACACUGGAACUGAGACACGGUCCAGACCCCUGCGGGAGGCAGCAGUGGGGAAUUUUGGACAAUGGGCGAAAGCCUGAUCCAGCCAUUCCGCGUGCAGGAUGAAGGCCCUCGGGUUGUAAACUGCUUUUGUACAGAACGAAAAGGUUUCUACUAAUACUAGGAGCUCAUUACGGUACUGUAAGAAUAAGCACCGGCUAACUACGUGCCAGCCGCCGCCGUAA
rnacentral:rRNA from 1 species